rnacentral:rRNA from 1 species
GACAGAGGAUGCAAGCGUUAUCCGGAAUGAUUGGGCGUAAAGCGUCUGUAGGUGGCUUUUCAAGUCCGCCGUCAAAUCCCAGGGCUCAACCCUGGACAGGCGGUGGAAACUACCAAGCUGGAGUACGGUAGGGGCAGAGGGAAUUUCCGGUGGAGCAGUGAAAUGCGUAGAGAUCGGGAGGAACACCAGUGGCGAAGGCGGCCUUCUGGACCAAUACUGACGCUCAUGCACGAAAGCGUGGGGAGCAAACAGG